UCUCACAUGCCGCGGAGCAACUAAGCCCGUGCUCCACAACUACUGAGCCUGUGCUCUAGAGCCCACGAGCCACAACUACUGAGCCCAUGUGCCACAAGUACUGAAGCCCAUGCGCCUAGAACCCGUGCUCCACAACAAGAGAAGCCACCGCAAUGAGAAGCCCGUGCACCACAACGAAGAGUAGCCUGCGCUCACCGCAACUAGAGAAAACCUGUGGGCAGCAAUGAAGACCCAACAUGGCCAAAAAAUAAAUAAAUUAAAAAAAAAAAAAAGAAUUGAUGUUGUAGGAAAGAAGGAGGGUAUUUAUAUAAAAAAAAGAAAAAGAACCUUUAUUGCCACAUCUGUAAAAUGGGAAUCAUGAUACCUACAUCUCAGGAUUGUUGUGAAGAGAAAAUGUGACAGUGGUUAUCAGGUGCUUGACACAGCACCCCCUGACACACAUUGCGUUUGCUCCAGCUGCCUGUGACAAGCAUCCUUCAUGACUGCGCCGAAUGCCUUCCAUCUCUGUGCCCAUGUCACUUCUCUCUCUAGCUUGUCCUUUCCAUUCUCUUCAGUGUUUAUCAAACUCUACUCAUGGAUUUAGGCUUGGCUUAGGCUCACCGCUUCCCCCAAACCUUCCCAGAUACCUCCCCAGGCAAGAUGCAUAUGUUUGUCCUCUGUGCUCCUGUGUACCUGGGUUGCAGAAUAUCUCUAUCUCAUGUGUUACAGAAGGUGCUGGAUAUAUGGUGGCAAACAAAACAAAGUGCCUUUCUUGGCGGACCUUGUGUUCUACUGGACACAGGGGCCACAGGCCUUUCAGCAUUGCUGGUGGACCCAGUGCAGAGCAGGGAGUGAUGGUGGAGGAAGCUGAAGAGGAGGAGGGCAGUUUGUUUUACGUGGAAGAGUUGAGCUGAUACCCUACCUACUUCCACAAAGGAUCUGAGACACAUAAAAAGCUAAGGAUUUGCCAAAUCAAACUACCACUGGGCAGGAAUCCCAGACCCCGUCCUGAGGAGGAGAUUCUUCUGCUUCCCCCAGAGGCUCUUGGUUGCUGCAGGGAGACUGCCAACACUGCUGGAGAAAAGAGGCUGCUCCUGGACCCUGUGUACUCCUAGAAAUCCCCUUGGGUUGAUUCAGUAAUUGGAUUUUGACUCAAGGCUGUGAGUGGAGAGUCUGGUACAUAGUGAGAACUUCAUAAAUGUUUGUUGAAUGAAAACAUGAGGGUGAUGACUUUAUCUGUAAAAUAAAGGAGUGGCUAAUCCCUCUGAGCUUUGACUUCAGCCUAAGAAUGAGUGGCAUUAUGAACUUCCUGGAAAGUAAGAUGGUUCCUAUACCAACACCCUGCUCAAUUUAAGUCAAAGGAUAAAAUGUCACAAGUAAAACCAUGUGCCUGGGCUUCCCUGGUGGCGCAGUGGUUAAGAAUCUGCCUGCCAAUGCAAGGGACACGGGUUCGAGCCCUGGCCCGGGAACAUCCCACAUGCCGCGGAGCAACUAGGCCCGUGCACCACAACUAUUGAGCCUGCGCUCUAGAGCCCGCAGGCCACAACUACUGAGCCCACGUGCCCUAACUACUGAAGCCUGUGCACCUAGAGCCCGAGCUCCGAAACAGAAGCCACGACAAUGAGAAGCCCGCGCACCGCAGUGAAGAGUAGCCCCUGCUC